rnacentral:rRNA from 1 species
ACCCGCUGAACUUAAGCAUAUCAAUAAGCGGAGGAAAAGAAACCAACAGGGAUUACCUCAGUAACGGCGAGUGAAGCGGUAACGGCUCAAAUUUGAAAUCUGGCAUCCGCCCGAGUUGUAAUUUGUAGAGGAUGCUUCGGCUUCGCCCCGGUCCAAGUCCGUUGGAACACGGCGUCAUAGAGGGUGAAAAUCCCGUGGCGACCGGCGGCCCCGCCAUGUGAAGCUCCUUCGACGAGUCGAGUUGUUUGGGAAUGCAGCUCAAAAUGGGAGGUAAAUUUCUUCUAAAGCUAAAUAUUGGCCCGAGACCGAUAGCGCACAAGUAGAGUGAUCGAAAGAUGAAAAGCAUCUUGGAAAGGAAUCGAAACAGCACGUGAAAUUGUUGAAGGGGAAGCGCUUACGAUGAGACUUAUCGCGGACGUUCACCGGGGCUUCUGCCCCGGGCAUUCGUCCGCGUUGGCCAGCAUCGGUUCGAGCGGUGGGAGAAACGCCAACGGAAUGUGGCUCUUCGGAGUGUUAUAGCCGUGGUGCAAUACCGCCCGCCCGGACCGAGGCACGCGUUCGCUAGGAUGCUGGCUUAAUCGUCGUCAGCGGCCCGUCUUGAAACACGG